UUACCCACUCCCGGCACGGGGAGGUAGUGACGAAAAAUAACGAUACGGGACUCAUCCGAGGCCCCGUAAUCGGAAUGAGCACACUUUAAAUCCUUUAACGAGUAUCCAUUGGAGGGCAAGUCUGGUGCCAGCAGCCGCGGUAAUUCCAGCUCCAAUAGCGUAUAUUAAAGUUGUUGCGGUUAAAAAGCUCGUAGUCGGACUUGUGUCACACGCUGCCGGUUCACCGCCCGUCGGUGUUUAACUGGCAUGCACGUGCUGACGUCCUGCCGGUGGCCCAAGCGGGUCCGGGAGCUCUGGGUGCGGGAUUCCCUUCGGGGGCCCGCCUCGAACCCGGUGUCCUGGGAGGGCCUACUCAUACCCCUCGCGGUGCUCUUAACCGAGUGUCUCGAUGGGCCGGCACGUUUACUUUGAACAAAUUAGAG
rnacentral:rRNA from 1 species